AUAUACACACAAUACAUACAUUCAUAUAUGUACAUACACAGACACAUAUAUACAUAUAUGUGAACGUAAAAUCUAAAUGUUGGUCUUCAGUCUUCAGUGUACCCAAGUUGCUGAUUAAUCUCAUUGUCAAUCUGUUUCUCCAAAAUUUCCCAGUAAACCCGGACAUACCAUAAGCUGUCACAGGGACCCGGAUUUUGAAGCAUCUCAGUCAGUAUUUGGCGAACCUGGAGGUCUUCUGUAUAAGGUGUUCUCUAUAAGUCCAAAGGUCUAUUACUGUAUUCUAGACAGUGCAAGUCAGCUUCUCAGGAAAUGAAAAUAAAAUGACGCAGUGUGGCUUCUCCAACAUUGGUUCUAGGAUCCCCCGAGCUUCCCCCUGAUUCUGACCUUGAGUUUUCUGUUUUCAGUCUUACUGCUCUUGUCACACCUAACUCAGCUCUAUCUUGAGACCAAGAAUCGUGCUUAGAGGCCUGACCUGCUUCCCUCAUAACUGCCUGUCUGGACUGUUUUUAUCAACAGAUAAGUGGAUUCCAUGACCCCUGUGAGCUAAAGUUACAGGGAGGACAGCCCUGAAGCCAUCUGGUCCCCUGGCCUUGAACAUCCAUUAUCAUGUUUACUCAAGCAACAAUGUCAAAGGAGAUCCUUUCAGAGACUGCAUUUCUGAGGAGUGAUUUUUACAUCUAUUAUAUGGCAUUUCCAUAAAACGUCAUCAUCGCGGUAAUCAUUACAACACUCCUACAUGGGAAAUCAGGAGAACAAAGGAAGUUUACCCAAACCUCAAGACUCCGAGUAUCAGGGACACCACCUAGAAAGAAAACCUGCUAAACACUUCUGCUGAACUUCCGCUGCUGACUCUUGAACCAAACACGGCAUGAAGAGUGUGGCCUCUCCAAAAGCUGGGAGCUCCGGUGUGGGGGACCGAAAGUAACGCGAAUCCGAUUCCUGAACUCCAGGCUGCACAGCAUCUGGCAAAGCUUCUGAGAACCCUCCUGGACUACUCCUCCAUCCUGCUGAGGAACUAGUUAACUUGAUCCCUUAUGGGGUAUGGGCAGAGGAGGAGGCAAUGGGGUUAAACAUCACUGCUUGGCCUUGAGCUCCAAGACAUCCCAGCCCCUGGCUCCAUAUUCUUGGCUUCUUAACAGUUUGCGCUGAGGGUGCAGGUGAGGUAGAAGGUGUCCUGUUUUUGCUGCAUCUGUGUGCUGGUAAAGAUGACCCUUCAUGGUGGCUUAAGCCUGCUGUCCUGACCUGGAACCAGCCUUCUCCUUCAUGUGUUAGACAGUCUCCAUCAGGGCUGACAGCUGAGAUUGUCGCUAACUAACCUCUGUCUUCAAUACUUUAUUCCAUUUUUCUGGGACAAUCACAAUCACAUGGCAAUGCUUCCAAAGUGUCUAAGGACCCAGCGAUAUGAUCUGCUGUGAACUUUGCAAUCUUUUCCUGUGAAAAGACUUGAUCUCCACAUUCUACAGUGAGUGGAGUUUUCUCCCUACUUUCUCUCUUUUUUUUCUUUUCUAAUAUUCGAUUUUAGGAUAUAA